rnacentral:rRNA from 1 species
UACAGAGGUCUCAAGCGUUGUUCGGAUUCAUUGGGCGUAAAGGGUGUGUAGGUGGCGCGCUAAGUCGGGUGUGAAAUUUCGGAGCUUAACUCCGAAACUGCAUUCGAUACUGGCGUGCUUGAGGACUGGAGAGGAGACUGGAAUUCAUGGUGUAGCAGUGAAAUGCGUAGAGAUCAUGAGGAAGACCAGUGGCGAAGGCGGGUCUCUGGGCCGAAAUUGACGCUGAGGAGCGAAAGCGUGGGGAGCAAACAGG